rnacentral:tRNA from 1 species
GAGUCAGUAGCUCAGCUGGUAGAGCAACGCCCUUUUAAGGCGUGGGUCGCGGGUUCAAAUCCCUCCUGACUCA